CGCAAGCAGUGAUGAUCAUGGCUUCAUGUCACAGUCCUGAAAAUGCAGUGUGGGUCAUUAAGUCACUAUCUCUUCUGAGCUUGUU
ensembl:snoRNA small nucleolar RNA SNORD11B